GACGAACGCUGGCGGCGUGCUUAACACAUGCAAGUCGAACGGAAAGGCCCUGCUUUUGUGGGGUGCUCGAGUGGCGAACGGGUGAGUAACACGUGAGUAACCUGCCCUUGACUUUGGGAUAACUUCAGGAAACUGGGGCUAAUACCGGAUAGGAGCUCCUGCUGCAUGGUGGGGGUUGGAAAGUUUCGGCGGUUGGGGAUGGACUCGCGGCUUAUCAGCUUGUUGGUGGGGUAGUGGCUUACCAAGGCUUUGACGGGUAGCCGGCCUGAGAGGGUGACCGGCCACAUGGGGACUGAGAGACGGCCCAGACGGCUACGGGAGGCAGCAGGGGGGAAUAUGGCACAAUGGGCGGAAGCCUGAUGCAGCAACGCCGCGUGCGGGAUGACGGCCUUCGGGUUGUAAACCGCUUUCGCAGGUGACGAAGCGUGAGUGACGGUAAUGGGUAAAGAAGCACCGGCUAACUACGUG
rnacentral:rRNA from 1 species